rnacentral:rRNA from 1 species
GAGUUUGAUCCUGGCUCAGGAUGAACGCUAGCGGCAGGCUUAACACAUGCAAGUCGAACGGUAACAUGAGAGCUUGCUCUUGAUGACGAGUGGCGCACGGGUGCGUAACGCGUAUACAAUCUACCUUUUACAGGGGGAUAGCCUUUAGAAAUGAAGAUUAAUAUCCCAUGGUAUUAUUAACUGGCAUCAGUUAAUAAUUAAAGCUUCGGCGGUAAGAGAUGAGUAUGCGUUCUAUUAGCUAGAUGGUGUGGUAACGGCACACCAUGGCUACGAUAGAUAGGGGCCCUGAGAGGGGGAUCCCCCACACUGGUACUGAGACACGGACCAGACUCCUACGGGAGGCAGCAGUGAGGAAUAUUGGACAAUGGAGGCAACUCUGAUCCAGCCAUGCCGCGUGCAGGAAGACUGCCCUAUGGGUUGUAAACUGCUUUUAUACAGGAAGAAACCGCUCUACGUGUAGAGCUCUGACGGUACUGUAAGAAUAAGGAUCGGCUAACUCCGUGCCAGCAGCCGCGGUAAUACGGAGGAUCCAAGCGUNAUCCGGAAUCAUGGGGUUUAAAGGGCCCGUAGGUGGAUAAUUAAGUCAGAGGUGAAAGUUUGCAGCUCAACUGUAAAAUUGCCUUUGAUACUGGUUAUCUUGAGUUAUUAUGAAGUAGUUAGAAUAUGUAGUGUAGCGGUGAAAUGCAUAGAUAUUACAUAGAAUACCAAUUGCGAAGGCAGAUUACUAAUAAUUAACUGACACUGAUGGACAAAAGCGUGGGGAGCGAACAGGAUUAGAUACCCUGGUAGUCCACGCCGUAAACGAUGGUUACUAGCUGUUCGGACUUCGGUCUGAGUGGCUAAGCGAAAGUGAUAAGUAACCCACCUGGGGAGUACGUUCGCAAGAAUGAAACUCAAAGGAAUUGACGG